rnacentral:rRNA from 1 species
GAUGAACGCUGGCGGCGUGCCUAAUACAUGCAAGUCGAGCGAAUGGAUUAAGAGCUUGCUCUUAUGAAGUUAGCGGCGGACGGGUGAGUAACACGUGGGUAACCUGCCCAUAAGACUGGGAUAACUCCGGGAAACCGGGGCUAAUACCGGAUAACAUUUUGAACCGCAUGGUUCGAAAUUGAAAGGCGGCUUCGGCUGUCACUUAUGGAUGGACCCGCGUCGCAUUAGCUAGCUGGUGAGGUAACGGCUCACCAAGGCAACGAUGCGUAGCCGACCUGAGAGGGUGAUCGGCCACACUGGGACCGAGACACGGCCCAGACUCCUACGGGAGGCAGCAGUAGGGAAUCUUCCGCAAUGGACGAAAGUCUGACGGGGCAACGCCGCGUGAGUGAUGAAGGCUUUCGGGUCGUAAAACUCUGUUGUUAGGGAAGAACAAGUGCUAGUUGAAUAAGCUGGCACCUUGACGGUACCUAACCAGAAAGCCACGGCUAACUACGUGCCAGCCGCCGCGGUAA